AACGAACGCUGGCGGCAUGCCUAACACAUGCAAGUCGAACGAGAUCUUCGGGUCUAGUGGCGCACGGGUGCGUAACGCGUGGGAAUCUGCCCUUUGGUUCGGAAUAACAGUUGGAAACGACUGCUAAUACCGGAUGAUGACGAAAGUCCAAAGAUUUAUCGCCAGAGGAUGAGCCCGCGUAGGAUUAGCUAGUUGGUGUGGUAAAGGCGCACCAAGGCGACGAUCCUUAGCUGGUCUGAGAGGAUGAUCAGCCACACUGGGACUGAGACACGGCCCAGACUCCUACGGGAGGCUGCAGUGGGGAAUAUUGGACAAUGGGCGAAAGCCUGAUCCAGCGAUGCCGCGUGAGUGAUGAAGGCCUUAGGGUUGUAAAGCUCUUUUACCCGGGAUGAUAAUGACAGUACCGGGAGAAUAAGCUCCGGCUAACUCCGUGCCAGCCGCCGCGGUAA
rnacentral:rRNA from 1 species